GACAGAGGCCUCAAGCGUUAGGCGGAAUCACUGGGCUUAAAGCGUGUGUAGGCGGACUUCUAAGUGCCUUGUGAAAUCCCACGGCUCAACCGUGGAACUGCUGGGCAUACUGGGAGUCUUGGGCCAUUCAGGGGCAACUGGAACAAGCGGUGGAGCGGUGAAAUGCGUAGAUAUCGCUUGGAACGCCGAAGGUGAAAACAGGUUGCUGGGGAUGUGCCGACGCUGAGACACGAAAGCCAGGGGAGCAAACGGGG
rnacentral:rRNA from 1 species